UACAGAGGUCUCAAGCGUUGUUCGGAUUCAUUGGGCGUAAAGAGCUCGUAGGCGGUUUGUUGCGUCGGCUGUGAAAACCUGAGGCUCAACCUCAGGCCUGCAGUCGAUACGAGCAGACUAGAGUGUUGCAGGGGAGACUGGAAUUCCUGGUGUAGCGGUGAAAUGCGCAGAUAUCAGGAGGAACACCGGUGGCGAAGGCGGGUCUCUGGGCAACAACUGACGCUGAGGAGCGAAAGCGUGGGGAGCGAACAGG
rnacentral:rRNA from 1 species